rnacentral:rRNA from 1 species
AGCGAACGCUGGCGGCGUGCUUAACACAUGCAAGUCGAACGGUAAGGCCCUUCGGGGUACACGAGUGGCGAACGGGUGAGUAACACGUGGGUGAUCUGCCCUGCACUUCGGGAUAAGCCUGGGAAACUGGGUCUAAUACCGGAUAGGACCACUGCAUGCAUGGGUGGUGGUGGAAAGCUUUUGCGGUGUGGGAUGGGCCCGCGGCCUAUCAGCUUGUUGGUGGGGUGAUGGCCUACCAAGGCGACGACGGGUAGCCGGCCUGAGAGGGUGACCGGCCGCACUGGGACUGAGAUACGGCCCAGACUCCUACGGGAGGCAGCAGUGGGGAAUAUUGCACAAUGGGCGCAAGCCUGAUGCAGCGACGCCGCGUGAGGGAUGACGGCCUUCGGGUUGUAAACCUCUUUCAGCACCGACGAAGCGCAAGUGACGGUAGGUGCAGAAGAAGGACCGGCCAACUACGUGCCAGCCGCCGCAGUAA